rnacentral:rRNA from 1 species
GACCUAUAGAGUUUGAUCCUGGCUCAGAUUGCACGCUGGCGGCAUGCCUAACACCUGCAAGUCGAACGGCAGCACGGGAGCAAUC